GGAUGUGACGGGGAUCUGGCUGCGACAUCUGUCACCCCAUUGAUCGCCAGGGUUGAUUUGGCUGAUCUGGCUGGCUAGGCAGGUGUCCCCUUCCUCCCUCACCGCUCCCAAAGCUGUGCACUCAGUGGAAGGGGAUGACCAUCCCAGAUAGAAGGAGUGUACCGAUCUUCAGUCAAGGGUAUACGAUAGCUGCGCUCCCCUGCUAGAACCUCCAAACAAGCUCAAGUUGGGGACCCCUGGUCUAGGGUAGUUACAUUUUCCCAACUGAAAUUAUGUUUAGUCUGUCUAUAUGUGAAAGUUAUAGCAAU
rnacentral:snRNA from 1 species